rnacentral:rRNA from 1 species
UUAAGCGACUAAGCGUACACGGUGGAUGCCCUGGCAGUCAGAGGCGAUGAAGGACGUGCUAAUCUGCGAUAAGCGUCGGUAAGGUGAUAUGAACCGUUAUAACCGGCGAUUUCCGAAUGGGGAAACCCAGUGUGUUUCGACACACUAUCAUUAACUGAAUCCAUAGGUUAAUGAGGCGAACCGGGGGAACUGAAACAUCUAAGUACCCCGAGGAAAAGAAAUCAACCGAGAUUCCCCCAGUAGCGGCGAGCGAACGGGGAGCAGCCCAGAGCCUGAAUCAGUGUGUGUGUUAGUGGAAGCGUCUGGAAAGGCGCGCGAUACAGGGUGACAGCCCCGUACACAAAAAUGCACAUGCUGUGAGCUCGAUGAGUAGGGCGGGACACGUGGUAUCCUGUCUGAAUAUGGGGGGACCAUCCUCCAAGGCUAAAUACUCCUGACUGACCGAUAGUGAACCAGUACCGUGAGGGAAAGGCGAAAAGAACCCCGGCGAGGGGAGUGAAAAAGAACCUGAAACCGUGUACGUACAAGCAGUGGGAGCACGCUUCGGCGUGUGACUGCGUACCUUUUGUAUAAUGGGUCAGCGACUUAUAUUCUGUAGCAAGGUUAACCGAAUAGGGGAGCCGAAGGGAAACCGAGUCUUAACUGGGCGUUAAGUUGCAGGGUAUAGACCCGAAACCCGGUGAUCUAGCCAUGGGCAGGUUGAAGGUUGGGUAACACUAACUGGAGGACCGAACCGACUAAUGUUGAAAAAUUAGCGGAUGACUUGUGGCUGGGGGUGAAAGGCCAAUCAAACCGGGAGAUAGCUGGUUCUCCCCGAAAGCUAUUUAGGUAGCGCCUCGUGAAUUCAUCUCCGGGGGUAGAGCACUGUUUCGGCAAGGGGGUCAUCCCGACUUACCAACCCGAUGCAAACUGCGAAUACCGGAGAAUGUUAUCACGGGAGACACACGGCGGGUGCUAACGUCCGUCGUGAAGAGGGAAACAACCCAGACCGCCAGCUAAGGUCCCAAAGUCAUGGUUAAGUGGGAAACGAUGUGGGAAGGCCCAGACAGCCAGGAUGUUGGCUUAGAAGCAGCCAUCAUUUAAAGAAAGCGUAAUAGCUCACUGGUCGAGUCGGCCUGCGCGGAAGAUGUAACGGGGCUAAACCAUGCACCGAAGCUGCGGCAGCGACGCUUAUGCGUUGUUGGGUAGGGGAGCGUUCUGUAAGCCUGUGAAGGUGUGCUGUGAGGCAUGCUGGAGGUAUCAGAAGUGCGAAUGCUGACAUAAGUAACGAUAAAGCGGGUGAAAAGCCCGCUCGCCGGAAGACCAAGGGUUCCUGUCCAACGUUAAUCGGGGCAGGGUGAGUCGACCCCUAAGGCGAGGCCGAAAGGCGUAGUCGAUGGGAAACAGGUUAAUAUUCCUGUACUUGGUGUUACUGCGAAGGGGGGACGGAGAAGGCUAUGUUGGCCGGGCGACGGUUGUCCCGGUUUAAGCGUGUAGGCUGGUUUUCCAGGCAAAUCCGGAAAAUCAAGGCUGAGGCGUGAUGACGAGGCACUACGGUGCUGAAGCAACAAAUGCCCUGCUUCCAGGAAAAGCCUCUAAGCAUCAGGUAACAUCAAAUCGUACCCCAAACCGACACAGGUGGUCAGGUAGAGAAUACCAAGGCGCUUGAGAGAACUCGGGUGAAGGAACUAGGCAAAAUGGUGCCGUAACUUCGGGAGAAGGCACGCUGAUAUGUAGGUGAAGUCCCUUGCGGAUGGAGCUGAAAUCAGUCGAAGAUACCAGCUGGCUGCAACUGUUUAUUAAAAACACAGCACUGUGCAAACACGAAAGUGGACGUAUACGGUGUGACGCCUGCCCGGUGCCGGAAGGUUAAUUGAUGGGGUUAGCGCAAGCGAAGCUCUUGAUCGAAGCCCCGGUAAACGGCGGCCGUAACUAUAACGGUCCUAAGGUAGCGAAAUUCCUUGUCGGGUAAGUUCCGACCUGCACGAAUGGCGUAAUGAUGGCCAGGCUGUCUCCACCCGAGACUCAGUGAAAUUGAACUCGCUGUGAAGAUGCAGUGUACCCGCGGCAAGACGGAAAGACCCCGUGAACCUUUACUAUAGCUUGACACUGAACAUUGAGCCUUGAUGUGUAGGAUAGGUGGGAGGCUUUGAAGUGUGGACGCCAGUCUGCAUGGAGCCGACCUUGAAAUACCACCCUUUAAUGUUUGAUGUUCUAACGUUGACCCGUGAUCCGGGUUGCGGACAGUGUCUGGUGGGUAGUUUGACUGGGGCGGUCUCCUCCUAAAGAGUAACGGAGGAGCACGAAGGUUGGCUAAUCCUGGUCGGACAUCAGGAGGUUAGUGCAAUGGCAUAAGCCAGCUUGACUGCGAGCGUGACGGCGCGAGCAGGUGCGAAAGCAGGUCAUAGUGAUCCGGUGGUUCUGAAUGGAAGGGCCAUCGCUCAACGGAUAAAAGGUACUCCGGGGAUAACAGGCUGAUACCGCCCAAGAGUUCAUAUCGACGGCGGUGUUUGGCACCUCGAUGUCGGCUCAUCACAUCCUGGGGCUGAAGUAGGUCCCAAGGGUAUGGCUGUUCGCCAUUUAAAGUGGUACGCGAGCUGGGUUUAGAACGUCGUGAGACAGUUCGGUCCCUAUCUGCCGUGGGCGCUGGAGAACUGAGGGGGGCUGCUCCUAGUACGAGAGGACCGGAGUGGACGCAUCACUGGUGUUCGGGUUGUCAUGCCAAUGGCACUGCCCGGUAGCUAAAUGCGGAAGAGAUAAGUGCUGAAAGCAUCUAAGCACGAAACUUGCCCCGAGAUGAGUUCUCCCUGACUCCUUGAGAGUCCUGAAGGAACGUUGAAGACGACGACGUUGAUAGGCCGGGUGUGUAAGCGCAGCGAUGCGUUGAGCUAACCGGUACUAAUGAACCGUGAGGCUUAACCUU